rnacentral:lncRNA from 1 species
ACGGUUAUCAAUUCAACAUGAUCAAACCGAAUGCAUACAAUUCAUGAGAGGAUAGACCCUCUGUAUGCCUUCUACCCACAUUGUUUCAGAAGUUUAAGCUUUUUCUGACUUUCCAGGCGUGAAGAAAGAUCGGCAGAUUUCUUUUUAGUGUCCUCUAACUCUUUCUCAAGCUCCUCUAUCUGUGUCAAUCCAAGCGGACAGAAUAAAAUUGAGACAAAUAUGUUAGAUAAAAAAGGUGGCGUUACUAGACUAAGUUCAAUAACAUAACUUAAAAGAAAACUAAGUAUCAAACACAUGCUCCGCAUGGAAGUGCUACAUACUGUACGUUUCAACUCGGUUUCCCUUUGGAUGUAUGACUCACACCUGUCGAACAAAGAUUCAAAGUGUUAAACUGGUAGAGCCAAUCAGUUUAGUUGCUAAACAUUUUGUGAUCACACGAGGAGGCCAAAAGCUGAUACAAACUAGAGAAGGAAACAGGAAAUAAGGAUUAGUCCAGAAACUACAUUGAGGCUUCCUAAAUCAGAGAUGUAAGAGACAUAAAGGACGAGAAGCUUAUAUCUUUAAAUCUCCAAGGCAAAUUUAAGUGCAAAACCAAAUCCAAAGGUUCAAAACAUUAAUCAUGUACUCAUAUUGGACGGCUCAUGCCACAAGAAGCAACAUGCGGUUGUCACUCAUCCAUUGAUCA